AGAGGGGUUGCAGAAUUCUCUGCAGCUUCGGGCUGUCCAGGGUUGUGGCUAAGGACCCACAGGCUGCCUUGUAGGACGGCAGGGCUGAUAGCUGCAGCCUGGAAUCAAGGAGCCUAAAAGGCUGGACCGUGUGGCCAGGGGUCUGCACCAGGCUGCGAGAUGGAGCCAGAGGGCACAGCAGGCCGCACUGCCUAGGUUAGGGCUGGACUCCUGGCAGUCUUUUGGGGUCUCACGAAUCAGGCACAACACAGCUAAUCAAAGCCUGCUGAGAAUUUGUUGUUCAAGAAAUGAUUUAUUGUGUUUUCAAUUGCAUGUGCGUGUGUAUGCGAGAGAAACAGAGAGAAAGAGAAGAGAGCAUGCGCACACGGCUGCUCAUGCCUGGAAACAGCAGAGGUGCUGAAUCCCCUGGAGCUGGAGUCACUGGCAUCUAUUAACCAAACUCAGGUCCUCGGCAAGACCAGCACACACUGUCUCCCUCUCCCCCAGCAUCUCCCCAGCCCCGUGCCUGGGGGUCUUUAAGAAGGUCCGUGAAGAAGCAGCUUGGUAGAUCUCUGAGGCCCACAAUGAAGAACUCCUAGACACUGCUAAAAUGAGCAUUGUUUGAUGGUGGUGGAGGAUACCGGGAAAGGAGAGGACACCGUGGACAGGGAGAGAGCCGCCUCAUUUGGCAGUGACCACAAAGGGAGGAUCCGGAGCGCCACCUGUGCGAGAUGAACCCCGGAGGCGGCCCACAGAUCUCCAUAUGUUCCUCAGAGCUGGCCCAGCCUCCCCACCCCACCCCACCACCGCAAUGCACCGGGAAAGGCAGCAUGGCUGAUCAAAGAGGCCGGGCUCCUAUAUUCCCUCCUGUUCUGCGAGGUGACACAGAGAGCCAGCUCCUGCUCCUGCCUCCCCAGCUGUGGGCGAACCUCCAGCGGCUUAGAAAAGCCAUGCCAUCCAAGUGGGGCCUCUGAGGAGACUGGAGCCUGAAGGGCAGAGACCAACCACGUUCAACUCCACACUUAGACAGCCAGUGGGCAUGUUCUGUCCUCAUGUUCUCUUGCCUUCUAAUUUGGUCAUCUGCUCAAGCUUUGAAAGAAAUCAGAGAAGCAAUCAACAGACAAGGCAACCACGGCUCCCAGGGAAACUCUAGGCCUGGGUCUCAGGGUGCAGGAUGAACAGAGAACAGAGGACACUGCACAGAACAACACAGCACAUACUAAAGGCACAGAUUGCCUCAUGCGUCCUGCUGUGUGGACUGUCUUCCACCCUGCUCCUUGACCAAAGAACAUAUCCAACCGUGUCCUUGCCAGCAUCUCAGCCUGAUGCUUUUCUUAAACAGCCGGGAAACACUGGGUUCCAUCAUUUUUUCAGCUGUUUCUCCUUUCGUGGAGAUGUUCCUUCCUCCCAUCGUGGGACCACACCUGUGCCACCUCUGCCAGCAAGAAGCCGUCACCAGGUGCAGCUCCUUGGCUUUGACUCCAGGUGUUGUGGUCCCGUGGAGCUGGUCCCAGCUUGAGCCACUCCAGUCAGAACCUUGAUCCGAUCACUGCUUCCUGCUACAUCAAGAUGUCCCCAAUCCAGACCAGCUCACACCCUCCUUCCCAACCCUCUGCAGACGCUGUGCUACCCUGAGACCCCACCAGUCAGCCCCUCAGUUUCCUUCAUCGCUCCUGCUGUAGCAAUCCAUGCAUCCUGUCAUUGGGAAAGGCCUCCUGCCCCUUAAAACGUACACCAAAUACAUUAUUCACAAAAGUCUUGUUGAUAUGCUCUUUCUCAAUAUAAUUGUCAGGCUCCUGGGUGUUGUGGGGAGGAGGAAGAAGUUUGAGGUAAAUCACAGGAGUCCACACAGAUGUGAGAAGGGGAAGCAUGUGUUCUCUGCUGAGGCUGAAUCCCAAGAACAGCCCCCCCCCCCCCAGAGUUGGGCCAACACUCAGGCACACCUACGUGUCUGUUUUCUGAUCUUUAAGAUCAUAAGGAGGAAAAUGCUCCAGACUGUGGUGACAGGAGGAGCCUGCUCAAGACUAAGUGGGCAGGAGCUUUAGAAAAAGUUUCCAUCGUCUGUUGGGUGUGACCAACUUCUUUAAGCUCCUGUCUUGGCUUCCCCACAGUGAUGGGUGCUAACCAGGAAUCAUAAGCUGACCUAGACCAGCAGGUUGGUCUUCAGUGACAGCACCCUGAGGGGGAGCACCUGGGGAUGAGAAAAUAAAGACCUUAGGUCACGUGUGCGCUGAUGGCUUAUAUCAAACACGUUUAUUAUGUGCAGAAUCAUAUGCAGUUAGUAGGAGGAGCUGGGACAGAACCAGCAGGGAACUAAGGUACAACAGGACAAUGUCAGCAGGAAGCUAAGCAACACUGUUGCACUGAGAGGACAUGGAUAGCUCAGAUGCGAUGGAGUACUUAAGUAGCCUCGGGACUGAUAACCACAGACCUGCAAGUGGGGGGAAAUUGGGCUCUCAGGCUCUGAAGCUGUAGCUCCCCUGACCCUCCCUCUGCCCCAAAGUCCUGGCUCCAGGCCAUUACUAGCCUUGCUAAUCCUGCUUCUCAUAGACAAAGAACUGUGUUCCUUAUUAAAAUAUCUAGGCCUCAGGAAAAUGCUCCAGGCCAGCCUGGCCCUUAACAGUAAGCUAAAUAAACU